ACCAUCCUUUUCUUGGGGUAGUGCAACUAUCCAAUUAAUGAGUAGUGAGGGCAGUACUGCUAAUGCCUACACAACACAUCUGCAUCAACUAGAGCUUUGCUUUACUUUGGUGCAAUUUUUGGGAAA
rnacentral:ncRNA from 1 species